rnacentral:lncRNA from 15 species
GGAUAUCAACUCGCUCUGGAUGGGUUGGAAUACUGCAGGACAUGUGUGGACCUAACCAUGUCAUAGACUUGCACACAGAAGAGGAGGCCAAACAUGAAGUUAUGAGAAUGCUUUUUACUAUUGUAUUCUAUGGCUUCACAAACAACUUCGUCAAACGAAACAUCGCAAAUUUAAACACGCCAUCAUUCCUGUGGGCUGCAGCGAAAUGUAUCAGACAUUUUUUACUCACUACGAGCUUGCAUAAGCCCCUUCAGAGUUUGACUGCUGAGCAGCGGCCCCUUCUAAACCUCUUAGAGAAGCGUAUCAGGAGUGUUGGUGUGUCACAGUCCAUUGAUCUAUCAAAGAGGAAAACACAGACUGCGCUGUAUGUCCUCCAUCGCCUACUAGACCACGGCGUGGCUAAAGAACUCGUCGUACAUGUGCAAUGUCCCGUUGUGCUGGCCUGGCUCCUACAUGGAAGGGGUUCUCAGUAUGUAAACCCAGAGCUGAAGAAUGUAAUGGGCAGCAAAAAGGCAAACUGUGUUUCACAAGCGGCUUCAGCCAGUGCAGACGAGGCCAGUUGCAGUUCAGGUGUUGAGACCAGGACUUCAGAAGAUCAGGAUGAUGAAGUCACUCCAUGCAAACAGUUAAAGUUGGAUUCUGUGGCUGUGAAGGGAGAGGAGUCUGGAAAAGCAAAGCUGACUGUGGACCCGCACAUUCUCUGUCAGAAAUUUACUCCAUGUGAUGGUCCCUCAGUGGGGGCUUGUCCAUGGGGACAGAUCCAUUGUCUGGAGAUCAGGCAGUGUGGGUCCGACUCCCUUAGAGUGCUGAACUCUGCCCUGCCUACAUUUUUCUGCCUUCGCUCUCUAACACUGCACAGCUUUUUGAUCUUCAGGGACUCGGAUGUGUUGGGCCUGGCCAGGACCCUGAAGCAGCUGUCUGAGAGCUCCCACAGCUCCCUCACAGAUCUGAGCAUCAGUGUCCUGCCGUACACCGAGCUGGUGGAGAUCCUGCUGGACGCGAGCCCCAAUGUGACAUCCCUGCACGUGGAAAUCCAGACUCUGGUGUGGGGACAGCGCUUCACACCACAUCAUCCCAGGACUGCUGAGUCAGACAUGUCAGAGCUGCCCCUGGAGAAACUGACAGUCAAAGUAGCUGAGCUCCAAACAGACCUGCAUGUGAUCACAUCGGUGCUGAGACGCUCUCCACGUCUCACCACACUUCACAUAGCUGGGAUGAGAUUACCAACUGGCUCCUCUCAAAGCCAACUCCUCACCACUCUCAUAGGUAAGGUGUGUCUCUGUAAGGGGUUCACCACAGUUUGAGUUCUAGGCCUUCUACACGGUGCACACAGAGCACCAGGGCACGUGUAUAGAGGAUUGUUAGUGGUUCAAAGUCAGUACUCGUAGUAGUCAGUUUUGAGGCCGAUUCACAUGUUUUUGUCUUGGGGCAGGUUUGGCUGAUAAGAAGAAAAAAAGUAUAUAGAAUAACACAAGCAUUAUCUUUUAAGUUCUGCUAAAAUGCGGGUAACUUUUCAUUGACUGCUCACCCAGACACUGAUACUGUCCAAUCUGUUGAUCUGUGAACCAAACUGUAGCCUGUCCAAUGCUGGACAAGGGCGCCCGGGUAGCUCAGUGGGUAGAGCUGGGGACCCAUGUACCGAGGCUGAGUUCGAAUCCAACCUGCAGCCCUUUGCUGAGUGUCAUCCUCUCUCUCUGCCGCCCUUUCCUGUCUAUCUUCAGCUGUCACUAUCAAUAAAGCCAAUAAACCCCC